AUGUUUUCAAAACUUGCAUUAGUUCGGGUUUCCCCCAGUUCCGUCCAUUGUCCGUUCUAAGCCCAACCACACUCGCACGCGCCCGCGGCACGUCCGAAAUAUUAUUUUAUAAGUGGCCGGAAAAUGUUCUCGGAUUGGGUUGAAAGUUGGCGUGUGGUCUUAUUAUAGUGUAGAUAGACCGCCUGUCAAGUUUCAUCGCAUUUGGAGUCCGUUUGAUGUCCCAACGGAUAACUAUAGCGGCAGUAUAGCCGGUCUUUUCGUCGGACGUUUUCGGUCUCUGGAAACCCUGCUGUGCUGCAUCUCUCCCCUCUUCUCUCAGACCAACCCGCUCUCCACAGUCCACCUUGGCCCUGCCUAACCCCUUUUUGCUCAGUGCAUCGGCCCCUCGCGCGCGUCCGAAAGCUGUCCCGAACCCGACCCGGAUAGUCAUCACCGUUGGGUCCGGAACAUCCCCAAACAUCUACAAAACGUCUCCAUUUUCUUAUUUGGGCACCCUAGCUAUUUAUUCGCGACCGUCCGUUUCCGAUCAGAGAGACCGAGGUAGCCCCUAAGCUAAUCUGUAAGGUAUUUAUAGUCCACCCUUAGUCAUUUUGGACAAGCCCUAAAAUCUAGGGACUUUGUCCCGUCGAGCCGCCGCCACCUACCGUAUCUUCCUCGGGAUCCAGAUCCAAUCCACCUCCUCGCCUCAAUCCAACUGCAACUCGCAGCCACCCACCAAUCCAACUCCACCUUGCCGUAGCGCCACCCGUCGGUUCAGCACGAGCUCCACCCGAGAACAGCCACCGUUCACCGCACCACCAGGCCAUUUCCCCGUGCCCAGUUGCUCCACCGCCGCCUUGCGCUGUCCUCUCCGUCCUCUCGACGUUUAGCAGCGCCAGCAGGACCCCGUCAAGCCCGCGCCAAGCCCCUGCCUCGUCGAGCUUUUCCUCGCCGCCCGGAUCUUUUCCCCAACCGUCGGACCUCCCUGCAAGCGUCGCCGCCGGCGACCACAGGCCAAGCGCCCUGCUUUGCCUCCUUCCCUCGCUCUUCUUCCUCCCUGCACUUUCUCCUCACCAGCUCUCUCUCUCUCUCUCGCAGCAAGACGCCACCGCUGGUGCUCACCGUCGGCCUCGUCGUCGCCGUCCUAGUCCCGACCCCCGCCGGAUCCGGCCGAUCCCCGCCUCGCCUCGUCGCCCGCUGCCAAGUCCUGCAUCGUCGAUGUCCUCCCCUGCUUCUGCCUCGAGCAGGAGGAGACGCUUGCAGCGCCGCCUCGCUCCCAUUGACCGCACCCCUGUUCCUUCGUCGGCCUGGCCAGCCGGCCCAACCACUCACCAGUGCCUCCCCAAGGCCCAGCGUCCCAGCCUGCCUCCUCCUCUCCAUAGUUCCAGGCCAAGGCCCAUGGUGAGCUGCCCCCACCGCCUAUUCAUGUUGGCCCGACUCCAGUUUCGGCCCAUGUAGUAUUUUUUCUCUCGGGACGAAUUUAGCUUUUAUCCAGUGUAAAACAGUUUUACAGAAAAGCCCGUGUGGAUCAUGCAUUUAAUAAUUCCACAACCGUGCAUCGGAUUAAAACAAUUUAUAUAUGAAAUAUGCUUAGUUUUUCAUCUAGUUUCAUAAUAUGUCACUUUCAUCUAUGUUUGAAAUGCUUAAAAUGAUGUUUGCUUUAAUUUGCUCCUAUGCCAUGCUAAAAUACUUUGGUUCAUAACUAAAUAACCGUAACUCGGUUUGUAAUAAACUUUAUAUGUAAAUGGAGUAGAAAAAUGCCUAGUUUAACAUGGUGGCUUUACUUUGCAUGUUUAACAACUCUAAAAUUGUGUUUAGGGCAGAACAGUACCAAACCUUAAAAUAUGCAUAUGGGGUUUUACCGGAAUUGUUGUUGUUGUUUCCGGCCUCAUUUAAACUUGCUUAAAUGUUUAGUUUGCUCAUGCUUCACCCCUUGCCAUGUUAAACAACAUUUAAUAUUGUUGGGUACAUAAACGAUAUCGAACUAAAUAACUUGUUGUGGUGUUUCGUCAUUAUGCAACUCGUUGCAUAUUGAGCUCCACUUAAUUUGUAGGAUUGCUUGUGCACUUUGCCAUGCCAUGCCUCGUUAAACCGGACAUGCAUCAUACUUGUUUGCGCAUCGUGUCAUGCUUAUGUGAUGCUUGUUUACUAUGUUGUUUGCUUUCUUUCCGGUGUACUUCUUCUCGGUAAUCCGGUAACGUUGCGUUUGUGAGGAUACAUUGGCUACGUCCGUUUGUCUUCUUCAUGGACUCGUUCUUCUUCUUUGCGGGAUCUCAGGCAAGAUGACCAUACCCUCGAAAUCACUUCUAUCUUUUCUUGCUAGUUGCUCGCUCUUUUGCUAUGCCUAUGAUGUGAUACCUACCACUUGCUAUAUCAUGCCUCCCAUGUUGCUAAGCCAAGCCUCUAACCCACCUUGUCCUAGCAAACCGUUGUUUGGCUAUGUUACCGCUUUGCUCAGCCCCUCUUAUAGCAUUGCUAGUUGCAGGUGAAGAUUAGAGUUUGUUCCUUGUUGGAACAUGGAUAUUAUUGUUGGGAUAUCACAAUAUCUCUUAUUUAAUUAAUGCAUCUAUAUACUUGGUAAAGGGUGGAAGGCUCGGCCUUAUGCCUGGUGUUUUGUUCCACUCUUGCCGCCCUAGUUUCCGUCAUAUCGGUGUUAUGUUCCCGGAUUUUGCGUUCCUUACACGGUUGAGUUAUAAUGGGAACCCCUUGACAGUUCGCUUUGAAUAAAACUCCUCCAGCAAGGCCCAACCUUGGUUUUACCAUUCGCCACCUAGCAUUUUUCCCUUGGGAGUCGUGCAUCCCGAGGGUCAUCUUUAUUUUAACCCCCCCCCCCCAGGGCAAUGCUUGUCUAAGUGUUGGUCCAAACUAGAGCCCCUUGCAGCGCCACCUCGGGGAAACUCGAGGGCUGGUUUUAGUUGUACGGAUUGCUUAUCCGGUGUGCCCUGAGAAUGAGAUAUGUGCAGCUCCUAUCGAGAUUUGUCGGCACAGCGGGUGGUCUUGCUGGACUUGUUUUACCAUUGUCGAGGAUGUCUUGUAACCGGGAUGCCGAGUCUGAUCGAAUUGCCUUGGGAGAAGGAAUAUCCUUCAUUGACCGUGAGAGCUUGUGAUGGGCUAAGUUGGGACACCCCUGCAGGGAUUUGAACUUUUGAAAGCCGUGCCCGCGGUUAUGGGCAGAUGUGAAUUUGUUAACGUCCGGUUUUAGAAAACCUGAAACUUAACUUAAUUAAAAUGCAUCAACCGCGUGCGUAAUCGUGACGGUCUCUUUCCGGCGGAGUCCAGGAAGUGAACACGAUGUUGGAGUUAUGCUUGACGUAGGUUGUUCUAGGACCACUUCUUGAUCAUAGUUUCUCGACCAUGCUUUGCCUUCUCUUCUCGCUCUCACUUGCGUAUGUUAGCCACCAUAUAUGCUAGUCGCUUGCUGCAGCUCCACCUCAUAUUUUUACCCUUCCUAUAAGCUUAAAUAGUCUUGAUCGCGAGGGUGUAAGAUUGCUGAGUCCCCGUGACUAACAGAUACUUCCAAAACCAGCUUGCAGGUGCCAAUGAAACUGUGCAGGUGACGCAACUGAGCUCAAGGAGGAGCUCGAUGAGAUUCGUGUUCGUUAUGUUGUUCCAUUUCCAGUUGAUCAGUAGUGGAGCCCAGUUGGGAUGAUCGGGGAUCUGUGUAGCAUUUGGGGUAGUCUUCUUUUAUUUUGGUUCCAUAGUCGGACCUUGACUGUAUUUGGAUGAAUGUAAUGCUUUAUUCAUGUAUUGUGUGAAGUGGCGAUUGUAAGCCAACUAUGUAUCUCUUUCCCUUAUGUAUUACAUGGGUUGUGUGAAGAUUACCUCACUUGCGACAUUGCUUUCAAUGCGGUUAUGCCUCUAAGUCGUGCUUCGACACGUGGGGGAUAUAGCCGCAUCGAGGGCGUUACAGGUUACAUCCAGGUUACUACUAAGAACUAAACUAGUAGCGGUAGAACAAUCUUAGGUACAAACAUAAGCCUUAACCACGCAGAACAACUUUUAAACCAACACAGUACAAUAAGUUCUAACCGAAACCAAAGUCUUAAAGAAAGAACAACCAUGGAUUGGACAACCGGAGCUCGAUCGGGCGGUCGCGACGAAGGCAUUGUCGUGCUCCUUGAACUUGGUGACCACCUCCACGCCCUCGUCGUUGAAGACGAUCACCUUCACGGUGUCGGGGGACAACAGCUUGAACGUCAGCAUGUACCUGGUCAUGAUCUGGUGAACGACGACGAAGGUAGCCCAACCCUGGUCAAGGGUGACCCUGUCGUCGAUCACCCUCACCGCCACCCUCCAUGCGCAGCCGGUGUUCUUCUUUAUCUUGAACUAUGUAGGGAUGGCGGGGAAGUGCUUUGUGAUGUCCAGAGGCAAUGGCAGACUCUCCAGCUUUGGAGAAAGGAUAACCUUGCAGAAGUGGUUUGGUCCUGACUUCUAAUGGAAGUGGCCAUAGUUCCUCCGCUUGGGGCUUGGGUGAUCCUGCACUGCCACUUUGAUCAAUGGAGGCACAACCUUCUUGCCCUUAUCCAAUGGUGGCACCACCUUCUUGGCCUUGUCCAUCUACAUUAUGAACGACACGCAUAUCAACGGUUAACAUUCAUUCAUAUCGGCCUAAUGCUCCUAUAUUAACCGACCCCACUAACCCAGCACCAUUCUCAAACCCCCUCUGUUUCACCACCUCUCCUCGGCAUGAACUCCAACUCCAACCCCAACCCUUUCCCCUCGGGCAUUGGAUGGAGGGCAUUCUUCCUUGGGUGCUCACUCGGUGAACGCAAGAAGUUCAAGCACACCAUGGAAGUGUGAUCGAACUUCAACAGCAUCGAUGGCAUGCACAAGGAGGCCGGUGCUAUGAUGAAGAAGGCUACGUCGGACGAGCUGAAGACAUUGGUUCCGGACCCAGCCAAGGGCGCGAUGUCAGUGGACAUCCUGUGCUGGGCCAUGAAUCGGGCAAACUCCAGCGACGCUCGAUAGCGGGCAAGAUGUGCCAAGUACAAUCAGUACAAGGCGCCUCAAGACCAGCGUGGAGCGGCGUACCAUAGGGGGUUUGAGUGUGGUGCUGGGUUAGUGGGGUGGCCAGGGCGGCGGCGGCAGACGACCGUGCAAGACCCAUCGUUCUUGAUGAAGACGAUGAUGAUGAAGCCGAUGAGGAAGAAAGAAGAUGACUAUGCCCCCGCCGCUCGACGCGACUCCAGGGUCACCGCGACUAGACAAUCCAAUCACGCCCCUGAUGUAAUCGAAAAAAUAACCUAUGAGUCCUAGUAGCCGUAGAUGCAUAAUCGAUUAAUGUCAAUCCCCCCAUGUGUUUAGUCCCCUCCCUAACUGUUCAAUCGCGUUCUCUAAUCGAAUCUAGCCCGAGUCGAAAGCAGUGAAUGUACAGAGAGGACGAGGUCUUACCGCCAUGGCCGAUACGCUCUGGUGGAGGUCUACAGUCACUCCGGUGGUUGCCGCCGUCGUCUUGGAUCGAUUCGCAAUAGAGCUUAGGAGGUUGCCGCCGUCGCCGCCGCCGGUGUGAGUGGGGAAGAGGGGAGAGCGCGGUUAGGAAGGGAGGUGAUGGCAAUUUAUGACGACGCGUCUGGAAUCAACGCGACAUCUCGGGACUGCACCCACGCGUGCAACCGCCCACACCCACGUGCCUAGGGUUGCACCGCGCGGGCCUGGCUCCAAAAAAGGCCGAUUUGAGCGUUCCUCAGGUUGCAAACCCAGAGAUGCUUUAAUGUUCAUGCUAUGCAGACCCAAUAGUGAAGGGAGCAACUAGUUAACGAGCGCUCCUUCGGGAGCCUCGCAAUGAUCAGCGCCACUUGGCGCGCUCUCAGCCAUUCGCCACGUGUCGCGCUCUCGAUGCUUCCUUCGAAUUUUAUUUUUUUAUUUUUCCACACGCGUUUUUGGCUUUCAAACGGUUUUCUUUCCGGGUUUUUUCGAUGUUUUGGUUUUCCUCCGGUCUUUCUUAGCUUUUCGAUCAAAAAAAAUUCGAAAUUUUUUUUUUGCGCGAAAAAACGCGUUUUCUUUUUUUCCUUUCACGAAAGUCACGGUUUUUUUUCGCGAGAGGCACGGUUGUGCUUUAUCGAGAGUCAGGGCCGUGCCUUUCGGAAACAAAAAAAAACGUGUUUUUCUUUUUUUUUCUUUCGCGAGAGUCACGGUUUUGCUUCCGCGAGAGGUACGGUUGUGCUUUCGCGAGAGUCACGGCCGUGCCUCUCGGAAAGGGAAAAACAAAACGCGUUUUCUGUUUUUAUUUCUUUCGUUAGAGUCACGGUUUUGCUUCCGCGAGAGGCACGGUUGUGCUUACGCGAAAGUCACGGCCGUGCCUCGCGGAAAGGGAAAAAAUACGCGUUUUCUAUUUUUUUUUCUUUCGUGAGAGUCACGGUUUUGCAUUCGCGAGAGGCACGGUUACGCUUUCGCGAGAGUCAUGGCCAUGCCUCUCGGAAACGGGAAAAAAACGUGUUUCUGUUUCUUUUCCUUCCACGAGAGUCACGGUUUUGCUUCCACGAGAGGCACGGUUGUGAUUUCGCGAGCGGACGUGCCUCUUUCGGAAAGGGAAAAAAUCGUGCUCCCGGUUCGGUUUUUUCGUCCGGUUUUUUUCGUGAAAAAAAAAGUUCGUCAAAACCUAUCAACAUGGGAUCUAGUUUUGAAGAUCUCGAUGCGAGAAAUCCAAUCGUGAAAACAGUUCGAGAUUUGGACGCACGGUUUAAAAGAUAAAACGUUUUGAAUAAACGGAUCUACGAAAAAAGGAAAAAACUCCCAGGUUGCGACAAGUGGCGCGCUGCAUGUGCGCCACUUGUCGCGACCCUAGAAAAUGGAGUAUUUUUUGCAACGAGUACUCCUUAAUUAAUGAUUUCAAACAGUAAAUGUGAAUAAUCAAACAGACUUUUUUCUUCUCGCGCGGGCCUAGCUAAGGUAUAUGCAGCCUACCAAACAUGUCUCGGCGUACUGUGAAACCGUUGCUUUUCCUCCCUCGAAACAAGCAAAAAAAAAAGCAAAAGCAAAAAGCUGUCCCUGACGACUCAGCCCGAGCGGCAAUCCUUGGCUACAAAAGUACUAGAAUCCAGCCGCUCCUCUCUAACCCCACCUCUCAUCUCACAAGCUAGCUAGUUGCUGUAGCUGCCAUGGCCAGGGAUCUCGCCUUCGUCCUCCUCGUCCUUGCCGCGCUAGCCGCCUUCUCGUCAGCGACCAAGCUGACCAUCCACAACCUCUGCCCGCACCCGGUCUGGCCGCUCGUCACCCCCAACGCCGGCCUUCCGUCCAUCUCCGAAAACACCGCGCGCCUCGACACCAACGCGAUUCUCUCCCUCACCUUCCCACCCACCUUCUGGGCCGGCCGCGUCGCGGCCCGCACCGGCUGCAACGACGGCACGUCGCCGCCGCGCGGGUGCUUCACGGGCGACGCGCCGCCGUCCACCGUCGCGCAGAUCACGGUCCACGACAGCGGGAACCUGGACCUCGCCGCGUACAGCGUCAGCCUCGUAGACGGGUUCAACGUGCCGAUGGUGUUGAGCCCGCAGGCCAUCGGCGGCGGGCAGUGCCCGGCGCUCGGCUGCGUCGUGGACCUCAACUGCGACUGCUCUCCGGACAACCGCGCCGCCGAAGGCACCGCGUGCCGCGGGCCCGCGGGGUACUUCAAGAACCGUUGCCCGCUCACCAGGACCACGCCGACAGACGUGGAGCCCGUGCCGCAGAGCUGCCGCGCGCCCGGGGAGCUUAAGAUCGUCCUCUGUCAAUCGUCCACAGGGGCGGAGCUAGCCUAAUGCAAGGGUAUGCAACGCAUACCCAAUAUUUUCUGCUAAUUUUUUUCAGUACAUAUACCCGUAUAUGCAUAUAUAUCAAGCAUGGCCUCAUUUUACACCUACCACGCAUGAAAAUUUGGCAAAGAAGCGCUCCAGCGCCUCGCUUCCUUACCUGGGCUCGCUGGCUACAUUGGGCCUUGACUUGGGGUGUUGGGCCUAGGUUUGGGAAUCCUCAAAAAGAAAAAAAGCAGCCUAGGUCUGGGUAGUUUGCAUCGCUAAUAGGACCUCGCCCUCGGCAGCGGCGUCAGUCGUUUGAUAGGCAGCGAUCAACCGUUAACAGCUGCGUGCAUAUCAUCCCUCGGCUAAUCGGCUUUACGCAUUGUGAGUUUUGUAAUUUUGAAUUUUUCAAAUUGCCAAUUCAAUACAGGGGACUAUAUUUAUCCCUAAGUUCAUCGAUUGAUCUACACGUAUUGGCGCUAUCAUUUGCCCCUUUGAAAAGGGGUUUGGUAGCGUUAAAUUUUGUUUUUGGCUAUAUUCUUGCAAUAUAAAACAAAAUAUUGAAGACCUUGUUGCAAAAAUUAUAAUAAUUAAAAUUCAGUUUUCAUGAUUGUAAACAUUUAUCUCUUAGUGUUGCUUGGCACUAAGAAAAUUUUAACUACGCAUACCCAUGUCAGAAAUCCUGGCUCCGCCACUGGUCGUCCAUGCUCCAGUGCGGCGCCGCGGCGGCGGAGGACGCCGACAUGGUCAUCCGCACCGUCGUCGCCGACAACUAGAGCCCGGAGCUCCGUGUUGUCCUCGCUUUGCCGUACUUCUACGCCAUGCGCGAUCCGUGCGUACGUUUUAUUUAAGAUAAGAGUUCGUGAGCGUCAAUUAAGUGGCCUGUUUUCAUACAAAUGUUGCAGUUAAAUGUUUGUAUUGAGACCUUAGGUUUCGUCAUCUGUAAUACCGGCGGUGUAGCUGGUAGUACUGAGCUAAGCCAUCCGAGUGCAAGGAAAAUAAUGCGAGUGAUUUUCUUCUUGUAAUGUUGCAUUCUUUUCUCUAUGAUUGCUAAACUCCCAUUCCAUGAAAUUUUCGUAAAUGGUAGUCACUCAAAAUAGAACAUCACUUAGCAUAAAAAUGAUAAACUUCGGUUGAAUUGAUAGUAUUCAAUUUGAUAUGAUAACAUGGAUAUUUCGAUUUUUUAAAUAAAUUCUAAUAGUUGGUCGCAUGUUUUUCCUAUUGAAAACAGGGUUGAUUCUCUACAACAAUAUGCUAGCGGUAGAAAAUGAAGUGGAGUCGAAGAAAGAAGCCUCGGCAUUGGAGAAUAGUUUCAGUAACGGCCGGCGGUCCGGCUCGAAAAAUCGGAACCGGUACCUUGUCCGGUGUUUUUAAGGUGUAUAGGUCUUUUGGUGAAAAAAAUCAAGAAAAUAUUUUAAAAAUGAUGUAAAAACUCAAACAACUAACCUUGAGGCAAGGCAUGCCAAGGUUAGAACACUUUGUGAUUUAUUAUUGGGUUACGUUUGAUAUAAUGUGCAUUCAUGUGAUUUUUGG
rnacentral:lncRNA from 1 species